GAAACGAUUGCUAAUACCGAAUAAAAUGUAAGAGUCAAUUUUACAUUGAAAGGAGCCUUUAAAGCUUCGCGAUUAGAUGGGCCUGCGGCGUAUUAACUAGUUGGUGAGGUAAUGGCUUACCAAGGUGACGAUGCGCAGCCGAACUGAGAGGUUGAUCGGCCACAUUGGGACUGAGACACGGCCCAAACUCCUACGGGAGACAGCAGUUAGGAAUAUUCGUCAAUGGAGGAAACUCUGAACGAGCAAUGCCGCGUGAGUGAUGAAGGUCUUAUAGAUUGUAAAACUCUGUUGUAUGGAAAAAACGACUAGGUUAGGAAAUGAACUUAGUGUGAUGGUACCAUACCAGAAAGCCCCGGCUAACUACGUGCCAGCAGCCGCGGUAAUACGUAGGGGGCGAGCGUUAUCCGGAUUUAUUGGGCGUAAAGCGUGUGUAGGCGGUUUAUUAAGUUUAAGAUUAAAGCCCGGGGCUCAACUCCGGUAAGUCUUAAAAACUGGUAGACUUGAGUACGGUAGAGGCAAACGGAAUUUCUAGUGUAGCGAUGAAAUGCGUAGAUAUUAGAAGGAACACCAGUGGCGAAAGCGGUUUGCUGGGCCGUUACUGACGCUGAGGCACGAAAGCGUGGGGAGCAAAUAGGAUUAGAUACCCUAGUAGUCCACGCCGUAAACGAUGAGUACUAAGUGUUGGG
rnacentral:rRNA from 1 species